CCCUCACACAGGCGGGCCGCCCACGGGCCCCGCGCAGGCGUGUGGAGAGCUGCGCAGCGGGAAAGCGGGUCUUGCCUUGUUUUGCAAAUCGCAAUAUCCCAGAACGGCUGAGGUUGGAAGGAACCGCAGCGGGUCAGCUGGUCCAAACUCAUCCUACAGCACAUGACACAGGAUCCCAUCCAGAUGAUUCUUGAAUAUCUCAAAUGAGGGAGACUCCACAACUUCCCUGGGCAACCUGUUCCAGUGCAUGGUCACCCACACAAUACAGUUUUUCCUCGUGUGGAGUUGGAACUUCCCGUGCAUCAAGUUAUUCCCAUUGCCUCUUGUCCUGUUGCUUAGCACCACCAAGCAGAGCCUGGCUCCAUUCUCUGACACCCUCCCUUCAGAUACUGAUAGACAUUGAAGAAGCCCACACUCGAGGCUGAACAGCUACCUCAGCCUUUCCUCAUAAGAAAGAUGCUCCGGUUGACUAUUCAUCCUUGUUGCACUCCUCUGGUUGCUCCAGGAGCUCCACGUCUCUUGUACUGAGGAAUAAAGAACUGAACACACCACUUCUGAUGCAGUCCCACCAGGGCUGAGUAGAGGAGCAGAAUCAACCCCCUCAAUCUGCUGACAAUGCUCUUCCCCAGGACACCACUGGUGCUCUCGGCCACAGGGGCACUGCCUGGGCUCAUGGACAGCUUGUUGUCCACGAGGACCCCCAGGUCUUUCUCUGAAGAGCUGCUUUCCAGCAGGUCAGUGGUAAUGAUAAGCUUUUACCCCAAAGUGCGGAACCUGAUGUAUGUCUGCAUUUUUUUUCCCAGUCCUUCAUGUCAGUGAAGAACUUGGAAACUGGCAGAAGCACUCCAGGAUUAAGGAUAAUUUUUUGGUCAUGGAAUAGUCAAUGGAGGAGAAGGGAUGGGAUGUACUUGCUGGGGGAACCACAACUUACAUUGAGUAUAAUUCUGAUUUCCAAACUCAAUUGUGCCAAGUUUGUUUUCCUCAGCUCUGAAGAGGUGAACAAGGUGGUUCUUCCAAGGCUUCUUGGAAGAACAAAGCUUCUUACAAGGUGUAUUAGCUGUUCUUGAUCAAACUUGGAACAACCUGAGGCUACUGUGACUUAAGCAGGAGCCAGAUCAAAUAUCAGUCAGUGUUAACUCUUAACUGUAUGAAAAAGGUAGAGCUGAAAAUUCCCACCAGCACUCCCGAAGGUACUGGCUAGAACAUGUAACAGAAACAGUGGAAAUAAUUAACCAGAACUACCCACACUAGGCUCCAAGGUACACAGAAUUGCAGUCAUUGUUCUGUUCUCUUGGUAUGAGCUGCCAUGCCUGCUUUCCUUGCACUGAUAGUUCUCUAGGCUUGGAGAUUAAAUUACUCUGAUUCCUUGGCCUGAAUCCUACUUCUAAUGGAAGUAAGUGACUGACGUAGUCUGAUUUUGGGUACCUUGUUGUGUACCUGAUAUUGUGGAAUUAAACUGUCUUGUCUUCUACUCUGUACUGCUGGAAAAAUAACUGGCAGGUACUUCUGAAUAAAUUGUCACAAAUGCUUUCUGUGAAGCA
rnacentral:lncRNA from 1 species